rnacentral:rRNA from 1 species
GACGAACGCUGGCGGCGCGCCUAACACAUGCAAGUCGAACGGAGCAUACAGCAGGAAGCUUUCGGGCGGAGAGUUGUAUAGCUUAGUGGCGAACGGGUGAGUAACACGUGAGCAACCUACCCUAAAGUGGGGGACAACAUUUGGAAACAGAUGCUAAUACCGCAUAAGACCACGGAGGGACAUCCCUCUGAGGCCAAAGGAGCAAUUCGCUUUAGGAUGGGCUCGCGUCCGAUUAGGUAGAUGGUGAGGUAACGGCUCACCAUGCCGACGAUCGGUAGCCGGACUGAGAGGUUGAACGGCCACAUUGGGACUGAGACACGGCCCAGACUCCUACGGGAGGCAGCAGUGGGGAAUAUUGCACAAUGGGCGAAAGCCUGAUGCAGCGACGCCGCGUGAUUGGAAGAAGGUUUUCGGAUUGUAAACCUCUGUCUUAGGGGACGAAGAGGGUGACGGUACCCUAAGAGGAAGCCACGGCUAACUACGUGCCAGCAGCCGCGGUAAAACGUAGGUGGCAAGCGUUGUCCGGAAUUACUGGGUGUAAAGGGAGCGCAGGCGGGGCGGUAAGUUGAAUGUGAAAUCUAUGGGCUCAACCCAUAAAUUGCGUUCAAAACUAUCGUUCUUGAGUGAUGUAGAGGCAGGCGGAAUUCCCGGUGUAGCGGUGGAAUGCGUAGAUAUCGGGAGGAACACCAGUGGCGAAGGCGGCCUGCUGGGCAUCAACUGACGCUGAGGCUCGAAAGUAUGGGGAGCAAACAGGAUUAGAUACCCUGGUAGUCCAUACUGUAAACGAUGAUCACUAGGUGUGGGAGGAUAGACCCCUUCCGUGCCGGAGCUAACGCAAUAAGUGAUCCACCUGGGGAGUACGACCGCAAGGUUGAAACUCAAAGGAAUUGACGGGGGCCCGCACAAGCAGUGGAGUAUGUGGUUUAAUUCGACGCAACGCGAAGAACCUUACCAGGUCUUGACAUCGUACGCAUAGUGCAGAGAUGCAUGAAGCCCUUCGGGGCGUAUAGACAGGUGGUGCAUGGUUGUCGUCAGCUCGUGUCGUGAGAUGUUGGGUUAAGUCCCGCAACGAGCGCAACCCUUAUCGUCAGUUACUACGCAAGAGGACUCUGGCGAGACUGCCGUUGACAAAACGGAGGAAGGUGGGGAUGACGUCAAAUCAUCAUGCCCUUUAUGAUCUGGGCUACACACGUACUACAAUGGCCGUUGACAGAGAGAAGCGAAGGGGCGACCCGGAGCAAAACUCAGAAAAGCGGUCUCAGUUCGGAUUGCAGGCUGCAACCCGCCUGCAUGAAGCCGGAAUUGCUAGUAAUCGCGGAUCAGCAUGCCGCGGUGAAUACGUUCCCGGGCCUUGUACACACCGCCCGUCACACCAUGAGAGCCGGGGGGACCCGAAGUCGGUAGCCUAACCGCAAGGAGGGCGCCGCCGAAGGUAAAACUGGUGAUUGGGGUG